UUCUUUCUCUUUUUUUUUCUCCUUAAUGAAACAAGAAUGGGGGUUUAAAUAGGUGUUGAGCAUUAAACCCCCCACUCUUCUUGAAAACUUAAGAGCCAAUGCAUGCAUUGGACUCUUUGUUUUCCCAAGGUGCCACCCAAGAUGACCAGUGAAAUUUCUUUUUUUUUUUCUUUUUCUUUUUUCAAGAAUUAAUUAAAAGACUAUAUUGCUCUUUAGAUGACCCAUUUCUUUUAUUCAUUAAUUGAAUAAUAGCUAAAUGGGUCAUCUGAAAAUUUAGAAUAGGC
rnacentral:lncRNA from 1 species